GAAUGUGAUUGCUUUUUGUGGCCUUGUCUUGGAGUUGAUUAUUUAAUUCUCUUUCAACUAUUCCUCCGCUAUGCUAGGCAAUAAAAAAGUCAAACCUAUAUAUAUCUAAGAAACAUGCAGCACUUCGGCUUUUGUGAGGUGUGCAGAGCGAGAGGGCAAUAGUUACAGAAAUUGCUGGAACUACCAGGGAUGUAAUUGAAGCAAAUGUAACAGUUUCUAGCAUUCCUGUGACUCUUCUUGACACAGCUUGAAUUAGGGAAACAGAUGACAUCGUAGAAAAGAUUGACAUUUCCAAAUCUUUUUUAACAGAGGAUUCACCCGAAUGCUCGGCCUCCUAGCUUCGACAUUUUGCAGCAGUGAUACCUACUAUGGAGAUCAAGAGGAAUCGUGCAGAGAAGUUUUUGAAAGCUACAAAAACUAUUUUCAAAUUGAUAUAAUAGCAGCUGAUGCCGACGACCUGUGCUCUUGGAAAGGAUUGGUAGAAUCUCGGCUUACGAUUUUGACGAUGUUGGCUUCGUGAAUUGAAACAACUUGAUGAGUUUGAGGUCACUACAUUCACAAAUAUGAAUAUGUAUUUAGUGGAGGAACUUUCUGUUGUACAUAUACAUUGGUUAUUAAUCACGAUCUUAUAUAUUAUCUUUAUAUUUUUGAGUUUUCA